UGGGUACCUGCCUUUCAGUGAGGAAUACCGGCGAGAAAUCGCCGACAAGACCGCAUACGCUCUUUUGCUUGGAAGAGGAAGAGAGGAAAGUCCCGCAAGGGGCGCUGGAAGAUGGGCCUGUGGCCGAUUAGCUAGCUGGUGGGGUAAGAGCCUACCAGGGCGACGAUCGGUAGCUGGUCUGAGAGGACGAGCAGCCACACUGGGAUUGAGAACGGCCCAG
rnacentral:rRNA from 1 species